rnacentral:rRNA from 1 species
UACGUAGGGGGCAAGCGUUGUCCGGAAUUAUUGGGCGUAAAGCGCGCGCAGGCGGUCAAGUAAGUCUGGUGUAUAAACCUGAGGCCCAACCUCGGGACGCAUUGGAAACUGGUUGACUGGAGUGUAGGAGAGGGAAGUGGAAUUCCACGUGUAGCGGUGAAAUGCGUAGAGAUGUGGAGGAACACCAGUGGCGAAGGCGACUUUCUGGCCUAUAACUGACGCUGAGGCGCGAAAGCGUGGGGAGCAAACAGG